UACGAAGGGGGCUAGCGUUGCUCGGAAUCACUGGGCGUAAAGGGUGCGUAGGCGGGUCUUUUAAGUCAGGGGUGAAUCCUGGAGCUCAACUCCAGAACUGCCUUUGAUACUGAGGAUCUUGAGUCCGGGAGAGGUGAGUGGAACUGCGAGUGUAGAGGUGAAAUUCGUAGAUAUUCGCAAGAACACCAGUGGCGAAGGCGGCUCACUGGCCCGGUACUGACGCUGAGGUGCGAAAGCGUGGGGAGCAACAGGGAUUAAGAUACCCGGGGUACGU
rnacentral:rRNA from 1 species